UACUUUAACCUCGCAGCCAAUCUGGCGACAUUUGGUGUCAGAAGUGGGAUCGAGUGCUCGCUUCCCGGGGCUGUGACGGCGUGAUGACCCCUUGCUGAAACUUUUCAUCCUGCUUUAUCCGGUUCAUCCAGCUUGCUGAGACAUAUUUGUGCAUCCAUCGACAUUCUUCGUGAACAAAACUUGUCGCCAAACGUUUUAUUUGGGUUUACUUGAGCGAAUUUCAUCCAGAAUUGUUGGUCUUCGUGGCUGAUCCUUCCCAUCCUUUACGACGGCCACGUGCGGAGAGGUUCAGCGGCUUGGCGCCUAACCAACAUGGCAGAUCGUUGCUCAACACAGAUUAAGUGAGGGAACUUUGUCUGCCUGCCCGACGUGUGGCAACCAGGAUUGGGCUACCACGAUAGGAAAAGUACCGCGGUAUUACCGCGGUAUCCCAGUAAUACCGGAAGUACCGUACCGCGGUACAAAAAAAAACUACCGUACUGCAUUACCGGAAUGACUUUUUCAAGUCUGCGGUAGCGGUAUUUAUAUUUUAAUUCAAUUGCCAUCUAGCAUUUGUUUUGAAAAAUUUUUAGACAAUGGUUGUUUAAUCUGUUAGCAGUCGAUACCAAAGUUUUUCUACUGGUUUACUGAAAUUCUGGUCAUGAAAAAGUGAUUUUUUUCAACAUAAAUUCAUAAUGAGACUAGGUGUGCAUCAUAAUGAAACUAGAAGUAAAGAGCCAGAUUUAGACUUAGUGGGCAACUUGAAGCAAAUGAAAGGGAUCACGAACAUCGAAGUGUCAUUUCAUCUGAUGAAUAAACUGAUCAUGGUGAUGCUAGUAAUGCAAAGAAAUUUCCAACCUCUGCCCAAUCAUCAAAGAGGAAGUGUGGUGAUGGUAAUCUUGCCACUAUUGCUGGGGAAUAUCAAGGCUUACCAUAUCCUAUGCCGUCGGGUAACUUGGUUGUAACUUGGGUCCCUUUCUCACCCCUCGACCCUCUCCCAUACCCGACGGCAUAGCCGCAUGUAGGGACAACGAAUGCAGCACAUGUCGGGGGUGAUCCAAUAUUUCAAAAUGAUCCU